ACGAACGCUGGCGGCGUGCUUAACACAUGCAAGUCGAACGGAAAGGCCCUGCUUUUGUGGGGUGCUCGAGUGGCGAACGGGUGAGUAACACGUGAGUAACCUGCCCUUGACUUUGGGAUAACUUCAGGAAACUGGGGCUAAUACCGGAUAGGAGCUCCUGCUGCAUGGUGGGGGUUGGAAAGUUUCGGCGGUUGGGGAUGGACUCGCGGCUUAUCAGCUUGUUGGUGGGGUAGUGGCUUACCAAGGCUUUGACGGGUAGCCGGCCUGAGAGGGUGACCGGCCACAUUGGGACUGAGAUACGGCCCAGACUCCUACGGGAGGCAGCAGUGGGGAAUAUUGCACAAUGGGCGGAAGCCUGAUGCACCAACGCCGCGUGCGGGAUGACGGCCUUCGGGUUGUAAACCGCUUUCGCCUGUGACGAAGCGUGAGUGACGGUAAUGGGUAAAGAAGCACCGGCUAACUACGUG
rnacentral:rRNA from 1 species